UGGGGAAUUUUGCACAAUGGGGGAAACCCUGAUGCAGCGACGCCGCGUGAUUUAGAAGGCCUUCGGGUUGUAAAAAUCUUUUUUACGGGAUGAAAAUGACAGUACCGUAAGAAUAAGGUCCGGCUAAAUACGUGCCAGCAGCCGCGGUAAUACGUAUGGACCGAGCGUUGUCCGGAAUCAUUGGGCGUAAAGGGUACGUAGGCGGCCUAGUAAGUUAGAAGUGAAAUAAUAUAGCUCAACUAUAUAAAGCUUUUAAAACUGCUAGGCUUAAGAGAUGGAAGGGAAAGUGGAAUUCCUAGUGUAGCGGUGAAAUGCGCAGAUAUUAGGAAGAAUACCGGUGGCGAAGGCGACUUUCUGGUCAUCAUCUGACGCUGAGGUACGAAAGCGUGGGUAGCAAACAGG
rnacentral:rRNA from 1 species